AUAGCGUAUAUUUAAGUUGUUGCAGUUAAAAAGCUCGUAGUUGAACUUCUGGCAGUCUUUGAUUUUGGCUUCGGUCGAGUUAAAGGUUGUCAUCCGUCUGUAAACCAUUUUCGGCCUUCACUGGUCGGCUUGGGGAGCAGACAUUUUACUUUGAAAAAAUUAGAGUGUUUCAGGCAGGCAUUUGCCCGAAUACAUUAGCAUGGAAUAAUGGAAUAGGACUUAGUCUAUUUGGUUGGUUAUUGGAUUGAGUAAUGAUUAAUAGGGACAGUCGGGGGCAUCUGGAUUUAAUAGUCAGAGGUGGAAUUCUUGGAUUUAUUAAAGACAAACUUAUG
rnacentral:rRNA from 1 species